UACAGAGGGGGCAAGCGUUGUUCGGAAUUACUGGGCGUAAAGGGCGCGUAGGCGGCCCGCUAAGUCGAACGUGAAAUCCCCGGGCUCAACCCGGGAACUGCGUCCGAUACUGGUGGGCUUGAAUCCGGGAGAGGGAUGCGGAAUUCCAGGUGUAGCGGUGAAAUGCGUAGAUAUCUGGAGGAACACCGGUGGCGAAGGCGGCAUCCUGGACCGGUAUUGACGCUGAGGCGCGAAAGCCAGGGGGAGCAAACGGG
rnacentral:rRNA from 1 species